UGCUUUCAUUUGGGGACUAAUAUUAAGAAUUGGAUGAACUAAGAACAAUUACAAGUAUGAAUCCUUGCGAUAAAUUUAUUCCAAACAACCAAGUCCAGUAAGAGAUCGAGAACCAAUACCAGAGUUUGGAAAAAAGGACAGUAAGAGCUUGAGAAAAUCAAAAUAAAUUCAAUACUAACAAGAACCAAAUGGAUGACCCUAAAAAUAUAUUCUACUAUAAGAAAAAUGAAAACCAAAAAAUACAUAAAAGAUUGAGACUUGAAAACAGUCAUAAAAAAAAUACAUCAUCCAUUACACCACCUGAUGCAGAACAAUGCAAGAAGUCACUGAACAAUUAUACAUUAUACCUGCCUGAAGGCGGCGAGCCGGAGCUCUCUGCAUCAUGAAUUACUUGAUUCUUUCUUACAAACCCUUUUUUCUCUCUUGUGAUAUUGAUCGUUGUGUUUACUACUUUUUCAAGUAUCAACCGUUUAAUCUGAUUCUGACCUCUUCUUGGUGCAAUGUUGGUUUUCUCUUUGAAGCUUGCAUUGUCCAUUGUUCUGAAUUGGGUGGAAUGUGGUAAUGAAUAUUAAUGGAUGGAAAAUGGAAGAAGAGAAAUUC
rnacentral:lncRNA from 1 species